AAAGGACGACCUUCGGGAGCCUAUACAGGUGUUGCAUGGCUGUCGUCAGCUCGUGUCGUGAGAUGUUCGGUUAAGUCCGCUAACGAGCGCAACCCUCGUCGUAUGUUAUAUGUGUCAUACGGGACUGCCGGUCUUAAGCCGGAGGAAGGUGGGGAUGAUGUCAAGUCAGCAUGGCCUUUAUAUCCUGGGCUACACACACGCUACAAUGGCCAACACAAUAGGUUGCUAAGCCGCGAGGUGGCGCCAAUCCAUAAAGUUGGUCUCAGUUCAGAUUGUAGGCUGCAACCCGCCUGCAUGAAGAUGGAGUUGCUAGUAACCGCAGGUCAGCUAUACUGCGGUGAAUACGUUCCCGGGGCUU
rnacentral:rRNA from 1 species